AAGAGUUCACUUAUAAGGUAUAUAUAGCUGAUCAAUUUUUGUACAGGACGACAAUAAUUCAAUUUUGCUCCAAUUAAGGCUAUUUAAUGGCUUUUCCCACAAAAACAGAGCUGACAGAAAUUUAAAAGCCAUGAUAUUUUUUGUCAUUUUAGUAGAAAAAAAACAUUUUCUUAAAAAACAAUUCAACAUGAAAAUUGCAGCUCAUAUUGCUUUAAACAAAUAUCUGUUUUUUAGUUUUAAUAUUUAAAGUCUGGUGUUUAUUUUUCUUAGCUGUUCCACUCUACAAUGGACUUUGAGACCCUCUCCCCCAGGAUGACCUGUGCAAUUAUUUGUACAGGCAAUUCACUCCACCAGAAAAGAGCCCUGUGGACAUGAGGAGAAAGAAGAUGACAGUAGCACUUAGGGCAUUCUUAACAAUGAAAAAGUUUACCGAAUGUUAGAAGUUCUGGCCAGAGUUUAAAGUUCUAUGCAUCAAUAAAAGAGACAAUAGACCGAACAUAUAAGGGGCUUCUGUGGGAAAAAGAAAGAAGAAUCAAGGGUUACCAAG